rnacentral:rRNA from 1 species
GUUAUAUGGUCAAGUGAAUAAGCGCAUAUGGUGGAUGCCUAGGCGGUAAGAGGCGAUGAAGGACGUAGUAGCUUGCGAUAAGCCUCGGGGAGUCGGCAAACUGACUUUGAUCCGAGGAUUUCCGAAUGGGGAAACCCACCCAGCAUAAGCUGGGUAUCGUUAGCUGAAUAUAUAGGUUAACGAGGCAAACCCGGGGAACUGAAACAUCUAAGUACCCGGAGGAAAAGAAAUCAACCGAGAUUCCCUGAGUAGCGGCGAGCGAAAGGGGACCAGCCCUUAAGCUGUUGAUGAGUUAGUGGAACAGUCUGGAAAGUCUGGUGAUACAGGGUGACAGCCCCGUACACGAAAAUGACUCAGCAGUGAAAUCGAGUAAGGCGGAGCACGUGAAACUCUGUCUGAACAUGGGGGGACCAUCCUCCAAGGCUAAAUACUCCUUACCGACCGAUAGUGAACCAGUACCGUGAGGGAAAGGCGAAAAGAACCCCUUUUAGGGGAGUGAAAUAGAACCUGAAACCGUAUGCGUACAAGCAGUCGGAGCCCCGCCACUAAAUCACUUUUAACGUAACUAUGUACUACGUGUAUGUACUGCAAAAUGUGCAAGAUGAAACAGACUUCUACACAGGUUACAGCAGUGACCUGAAGAAGCGUGUUGAGCAGCACAAUGAAGGUAAAAACACUUCUACCCGAGGGAAGAGGUGGCGCGUAGUGUAUUACGAAGCGUAUAUCAGUGAAGAGGUGGCGCGAGAUAGAGAACGCAAGCUUAAGAAUGAUGGGCGAGUGAAGCGUUUUUUGUUCGAACGCAUUAAGUCACAGUUUGGAGAGUGAUUUAGUGGCGGGGUAACGGCGUACCUUUUGUAUAAUGGGUCAGCGACUUACUUCUCAGUAGCAAGCUUAACCGAAUAGGGGAGGCGUAGGGAAACCGAGUCUUAAUAGGGCGAAUUAGUUGCUGGGAGUAGACCCGAAACCGGGCGAUCUAUCCAUGGCCAGGGUGAAGGUGGAGUAACAUCUACUGGAGGCCCGAACCCACUUAUGUUGAAAAAUGAGGGGAUGAGCUGUGGAUAGGAGUGAAAGGCUAAUCAAGCCCGGAGAUAGCUGGUUCUCCUCGAAAGCUAUUUAGGUAGCGCCUCAUGUAUCACCACCGGGGGUAGAGCACUGUUACGGCUAGGGGGUCAUCCCGACUUACCAACCCGUUGCAAACUCCGAAUACCGGUGAGUGCAAUCAUGGGAGACAGACGGCGGGUGCUAACGUCCGUCGUCAAAAGGGAAACAACCCAGACCGCCAGCUAAGGUCCCAAAAUCACAUCUCAGUGGGAAACGAUGUGGGAAGGCAUAGACAGCUAGGAGGUUGGCUUAGAAGCAGCCAUCCUUUAAAGAAAGCGUAAUAGCUCACUAGUCGAGUCGGCCUGCGCGGAAGAUUUAACGGGGCUUAAGAUGUGUACCGAAGCUGCGGAUGCAGACUUGUUCUGCAUGGUAGAGGAGCGUUCUGUAGGCCGUUGAAGGUGAACUGUAAGGUUUGCUGGAGGUAUCAGAAGUGCGAAUGCUGACAUGAGUAACGAUAAAGGGGGUGAGAGGCCCCCUCGCCGAAAGCCCAAGGUUUCCUGCGCAACGCUAAUCGGCGCAGGGUUAGUCGGCCCCUAAGACGAGGCAGAGAUGCGUAGUCGAUGGGAAGCAGGUCAAUAUUCCUGCACCUCUUGUUACUGCGAUGGAGGGACGGAGAAGGCUAGGUCAUCCGGGCGUUGGUUGUCCCGGUUUAAGCGAGUAGGGAGUGUUCUUAGGUAAAUCCGGGGACACAAUUCUGAGACGUGAUGACGAAGCACCCUUUGGGUGUGAAGUGAUUGAUGCCAUGCUUCCAGGAAAAGCUUCUAAGCUUCAGGUAACAAGAGACCGUACCCCAAACCGACACAGGUGGGCAGGGUGAGAAUCCCAAGGCGCUUGAGAGAACUCUGGUGAAGGAACUAGGCAAAAUAGUACCGUAACUUCGGGAGAAGGUACGCCUCCUAGGUGAAGCAUUUACAUGUCGAGCUAUAGGAGGUCGCAGUGACCAGGUGGCUGCAACUGUUUACUAAAAACAUAGCACUCUGCAAACACGAAAGUGGACGUAUAGGGUGUGACGCCUGCCCGGUGCCGGAAGGUUAAUUGAUGGGGUUAUCUUCGGAGAAGCUCUUGAUCGAAGCCCCGGUAAACGGCGGCCGUAACUAUAACGGUCCUAAGGUAGCGAAAUUCCUUGUCGGGUAAGUUCCGACCUGCACGAAUGGCGUAAUGAUGGCCACGCUGUCUCCACCAGAGACUCAGUGAAAUUGAAAUUGCGGUUAAGAUGCCGCAUACCCGCGGCUAGACGGAAAGACCCCGUGAACCUUUACUACAGCUUCACACUGGACUUUGAACCUACUUGUGUAGGAUAGGUGGGAGGCUUUGAAGCCGAGACGUCAGUCUUGGUGGAGCCAUCCUUGAAAUACCACCCUGGUAUGUUUGAAGUUCUAACCUAGGCCCGUUAUCCGGGUCAGGGACAGUGUGUGGUGGGUAGUUUGACUGGGGCGGUCUCCUCCCAAAGAGUAACGGAGGAGCACGAAGGUACCCUCAGCGCGGUCGGAAAUCGCGCAAUGAGUGCAAAGGCAUAAGGGUGCUUGACUGCGAGAUAGACACAUCGAGCAGGUACGAAAGUAGGUCUUAGUGAUCCGGUGGCUCUGUAUGGAAGGGCCAUCGCUCAACGGAUAAAAGGUACUCCGGGGAUAACAGGCUGAUGGUGCCCAAGAGUUCAUAUCGACGGCACCGUUUGGCACCUCGAUGUCGGCUCAUCACAUCCUGGGGCUGAAGUCGGUCCCAAGGGUAUGGCUGUUCGCCAUUUAAAGUGGUACGCGAGCUGGGUUUAGAACGUCGUGAGACAGUUCGGUCCCUAUCUGCCGUGGGCGUUUGAGAUUUGAGGGAAGCUGCUCCUAGUACGAGAGGACCGGAGUGGACGAACCCCUGGUGUUCCGGUUGUCACGCCAGUGGCACUGCCGGGUAGCUACGUUCGGACAGGAUAACCGCUGAAAGCAUCUAAGCGGGAAGCCCCUCCCAAGAUUAGAUCUCACUGGACCUUUAAGGUCCCUGAAGGGCCGUUGAAGACUACAACGUUGAUAGGCUGGGUGUGGAAGUUCAGUAAUGAAUGAAGCUAACCAGUACUAAUUGCCCGUGAGGCUUGACCAUAUAACACCCAAACACUU